AGUCACUGACAUUAGAUACCCGUGUAGUCCCAGCCGUAAACUAUGCUCGCUAGGUGUCAGGCAUGGCGCGACCGUGUCUGGUGCCGCAGGGAAGCCGUGAAGCGAGCCACCUGGGAAGUACGGCCGCAAGGCUGAAACUUAAAGGAAUUGGCGGGGAGCACCACAACGGGUGGAGCCUGCGGUUUAAUUGGACUCAACGCCGGGAAGCUCACCGGAUAAGACAGCGGAAUGAUUGCCGGGCUGAAGACUCUGCAUGACUAGCUG
rnacentral:rRNA from 1 species